rnacentral:rRNA from 1 species
AGCGUACACGGUGGAUGCCCUGGCAGUCAGAGGCGAUGAAGGACGUGCUAAUCUGCGAAAAGCGUCGGUAAGGUGAUAUGAACCGUUAUAACCGGCGAUGUCCGAAUGGGGAAACCCAGUGCAAUUCGUUGCACUAUCGUUAACUGAAUACAUAGGUUAACGAGGCGAACCGGGGGAACUGAAACAUCUAAGUACCCCGAGGAAAAGAAAUCAACCGAGAUUCCCCCAGUAGCGGCGAGCGAACGGGGAGCAGCCCAGAGUCUGAAUCAGCUUGUGUGUUAGUGGAACGGUCUGGAAAGUCCGACGGUACAGGGUGAUAGUCCCGUACACCAAAAUGCACAGGUUGUGAACUCGAAGAGUAGGGCGGGACACGUGGUAUCCUGUCUGAAUAUGGGGGGACCAUCCUCCAAGGCUAAAUACUCCUGACUGACCGAUAGUGAACCAGUACCGUGAGGGAAAGGCGAAAAGAACCCCGGCGAGGGGAGUGAAAAAGAACCUGAAACCGUGUACGUACAAGCAGUGGGAGCACCUUCGGGUGUGACUGCGUACCUUUUGUAUAAUGGGUCAGCGACUUAUAUUCUGUAGCAAGGUUAACCGUAUAGGGGAGCCGCAGGGAAACCGAGUCUUAACUGGGCGUUAAGUUGCAGGGUAUAGACCCGAAACCCGGUGAUCUAGCCAUGGGCAGGUUGAAGGUUGGGUAACACUAACUGGAGGACCGAACCGACUAAUGUUGAAAAAUUAGCGGAUGACUUGUGGCUGGGGGUGAAAGGCCAAUCAAACCGGGAGAUAGCUGGUUCUCCCCGAAAGCUAUUUAGGUAGCGCCUCGUGAACUCAUCUUCGGGGGUAGAGCACUGUUUCGGCUAGGGGGUCAUCCCGACUUACCAACCCGAUGCAAACUACGAAUACCGAAGAAUGUUAUCACGGGAGACACACGGCGGGUGCUAACGUCCGUCGUGAAGAGGGAAACAACCCAGACCGCCAGCUAAGGUCCCAAAGUCAUGGUUAAGUGGGAAACGAUGUGGGAAGGCACAGACAGCCAGGAUGUUGGCUUAGAAGCAGCCAUCAUUUAAAGAAAGCGUAAUAGCUCACUGGUCGAGUCGGCCUGCGCGGAAGAUGUAACGGGGCUAAACCAUGCACCGAAGCUGCGGCAGCGACACUAUGUGUUGUUGGGUAGGGGAGCGUUCUGUAAGCCUGCGAAGGUGACCUGUGAGGCAUGCUGGAGGUAUCAGAAGUGCGAAUGCUGACAUAAGUAACGAUAAAGCGGGUGAAAAGCCCGCUCGCCGGAAGACCAAGGGUUCCUGUCCAACGUUAAUCGGGGCAGGGUGAGUCGACCCCUAAGGCGAGGCCGAAAGGCGUAGUCGAUGGGAAACAGGUUAAUAUUCCUGUACUUGGUGUUACUGCGAAGGGGGGACGGAGAAGGCUAUGUUAGCCGGGCGACGGUUGUCCCGGUUUAAGCAUGUAGGCUGAUUGUCCAGGCAAAUCCGGAUAAUCAAGGCUGAGGUGUGAUGACGAGGCACUACGGUGCUGAAGUAACAAAUGCCCUGCUUCCAGGAAAAGCCUCUAAGCAUCAGGUAACAUCAAAUCGUACCCCAAACCGACACAGGUGGUCAGGUAGAGAAUACCAAGGCGCUUGAGAGAACUCGGGUGAAGGAACUAGGCAAAAUGGUGCCGUAACUUCGGGAGAAGGCACGCUGGUGUGUAGGUGAAGCCCCUGCGGGUGGAGCUGAGACCAGUCGAAGAUACCAGCUGGCUGCAACUGUUUAUUAAAAACACAGCACUGUGCAAACACGAAAGUGGACGUAUACGGUGUGACGCCUGCCCGGUGCCGGAAGGUUAAUUGAUGGGGUUAUCCGUAAGGAGAAGCUCUUGAUCGAAGCCCCGGUAAACGGCGGCCGUAACUAUAACGGUCCUAAGGUAGCGAAAUUCCUUGUCGGGUAAGUUCCGACCUGCACGAAUGGCGUAAUGAUGGCCAGGCUGUCUCCACCCGAGACUCAGUGAAAUUGAACUCGCUGUGAAGAUGCAGUGUACCCGCGGCAAGACGGAAAGACCCCGUGAACCUUUACUAUAGCUUGACACUGAACAUUGAGCCUUGAUGUGUAGGAUAGGUGGGAGGCUUUGAAGCGUGGACGCCAGUCUGCGUGGAGCCAACCUUGAAAUACCACCCUUUAAUGUUUGAUGUUCUAACGUUGGCCCCUGACCGGGGUUGCGGACAGUGUCUGGUGGGUAGUUUGACUGGGGCGGUCUCCUCCCAAAGCGUAACGGAGGAGCACGAAGGUUAGCUAAUCCUGGUCGGACAUCAGGAGGUUAGUGCAAUGGCAUAAGCUAGCUUGACUGCGAGCGUGACGGCGCGAGCAGGUGCGAAAGCAGGUCAUAGUGAUCCGGUGGUUCUGAAUGGAAGGGCCAUCGCUCAACGGAUAAAAGGUACUCCGGGGAUAACAGGCUGAUACCGCCCAAGAGUUCAUAUCGACGGCGGUGUUUGGCACCUCGAUGUCGGCUCAUCACAUCCUGGGGCUGAAGUAGGUCCCAAGGGUAUGGCUGUUCGCCAUUUAAAGUGGUACGCGAGCUGGGUUUAGAACGUCGUGAGACAGUUCGGUCCCUAUCUGCCGUGGGCGCUGGAGAAUUGAGGGGGGCUGCUCCUAGUACGAGAGGACCGGAGUGGACGCAUCACUGGUGUUCGGGUUGUCAUGCCAAUGGCACUGCCCGGUAGCUAAAUGCGGAAGAGAUAAGUGCUGAAAGCAUCUAAGCACGAAACUUGCCCCGAGAUGAGUUCU